ensembl:lncRNA
AGUUUGAAACUUUCAGACCUUGAAAAUCCUCAAACUCAAUCUCAUUCUGCCGUUUUGCAGACAAAGACGUCUCCUCACACAGAGUCUCUAACAGGGUCAGCAGAGAAAGAGGAGAGUGUGGUACAUGAUUCUGGUUCAAAGCUCCAGUCUUCAAGCCAAAGUCCAGAUCCUCACACAGAGCGCCCCCUAGCUGCCCCUCCAUUUGCCCCUCCAUUUGCCCCUCCAGCUGCCCCUCCUUUAGUGUCUCAUGUCCCUGAGGCUCAGACUCCAGAGAUGAGGCAGCGUCUGGGUGAGGACCUGUACAGACUGGUUCAGAAUAUUAACUACAUGAGCCUGAUGGAAGUCCUGGGAGCCUCGUUUUCUAAUUUACAACUUGCCCAGCAGAAUGUCUCUGCCCAAUCCAACUUCAACUUGUCUGUAAAUCUGCCAUUUUUAAAUAACGCCAUGACUCCCCCAUCUGUCCCCCGUCCCACAGAGCCUCCCCCAUCUGUCCCCCGUCCCUCAGAGCCUCUCACAGGGCCCAGCCCACCCCCUGAGCAUCGUCCUCAGGGCCCUGUGUGUGUUCAUCCAGGCUCCAGGGGCCUUCACACUGUGAACAUGAAUCUCCAGACUCCUCCUUUCACCCAUGGUCCAGUUUUGUCUGGUGGUCCAGAAAUGUCUCCACUUUCAGUUGAAGCUGGAUCACCUGUAAGAAACUCAAGAAACAAUCUGAUCCCGUGCACUGAGGGCCUUUUGACCACAGCUGACCUCAAACAAACUGUCCCUCAAAACCCUGUUUUACCUCCCUCCACCUGCAGCCUGCAGAGCCACGCGGCUCCUCUGCAGAGCCACGCGGCUCCUCUGCAGAGCCACGCGGCUCCUCUUCUCUCAGGGCUGAAGUUGCUUCAGCUCCAUUCUCCUCAGUUUUCUGCCCAUGUCUCCAGGUGUAGACCUCAGUCUCCACAGAAUCACCCACAAACUGAAUCUGGUCCCUCCAUGUUCAAACAUAAUGACCUCAUGAGGUUCACGAGAGGACACAUCCGUUUUACACUUGAGGCUCAACAUCAGCCUGUCCCUGUGAACUCAAAUCAAACACGACUCAAAGGACGAGAGGCUCCACGACUUCCUCUGGCUUCACCUGUUUGGACAGAAUCUGCUCCACAAAGACUGAAGCUUCUACAUGUGCAGCCCGUUUCAAACAGCAACAUAACCCUCCCCAGACUGUCCCCGGGCCCCGGGCCCCCGUCUGCACAGGCUGCACACACGGGACCAGCACCGAGAAUAAGACUCCUGCAACUAGAACCUCAGCCUAAGAUGAUGCUGCCGCUCCAAACCUCUUUAUCUCAAAUAUCACGGCUGAUUCUGGGUAAAAAACACAGUGACAGUUCUCAAGUGCAUCUGCUGAGAGCGCCUGCAGGGGGCGCCAACACAUCCUCCACUUUACACAACGCAGAUAAGAGGCAGAAAAGAAGAGAGAGACUGGAAAAGGCGGCGAGAGAGAUAACGUUUCGUCCAAAUGACUCCAUCAUCCCCCCAGAGACGACGUGCGAUUUCACAAAUGAAGACAUCGUUUCUGAGGAGGCCGUCGCUGAAACAGGCUCCGCCCCGUCCUCAGGGCCUCUGCUCAGGGGGGAGGCUUUACUGGAGCAGGUCUUUUCCACAGCUGCUGAGCUCCAGGCGUUUGCAUCCACCUGUAAGAAACCUCCAGAACGACACGACGCCUGCACCAACACAGACUCAGACCAUUCUCUUCACGUGGAUAAGGCCGUUUCUACUGACGUCAGAACAGAAGCUCCUGUUUUUAAAGAGGAACAAACCUACAACAAAUAUACUGCUCCAGAUCAGCAGCAGGGAACAGAAGAAAUACAGGCUCCACACGGGCGUCUCUUCGUCCGUGUGGUGGAUCUUGAAGACAAAUCCCUGCACAAAGAUUUGCCACAGUGUCACAUCGAUCGUUCUUCUGCCGCCGCUUCAGCCGAGCUUCACCUCCUGGCGGCCGGAGUCCUGAGAAACGGGGCCGAACCUCAAAUCUCCCAUGAACCAAUAAAUGAAACGCUUCAAGAUCAAACCUCUGAGCCAGAAAUCAACAUCGAGCAGUUUGUUCCACGCAGUCCUGUUGCGUGGGAUGUUGAUGGAGAAGAUUCUGCUGUAGAAAGUUGUGAAUUUGAAUCAAACGUCGUCAGAGCCGUAAAGUCUGAGCCGCUCGUGACCCCACAGUCCACAGUCUGGUUCUCCUCUCAAAUGUCCCACCUGGACUCACAGCUGACCGCUCUGCAGCGCAUCGCAGACUCCCUCGAGACGGACCUCUCCAAGUCCAGAGUGUUGGUGAACACUGAAGAAAAACUGACCCCAGUCGCGACGUCUGAGAAAAAGACAAACACAGGAGUAAAGAAAACUGUGCGGCUUUAUGCUCCAUGUGAAAUGCAGACACCACCACGUGACACUUCAACAGAACUGAACGUCUGUGGAUCAUUUCAGCUUCAAACAUCUGCCUCGACUAACACCGUCACUCCACCAGAGAGAAAACAGGACUCGACUGAACUCUCUGAACUGUCCAACACUGGUUUGACAGAUGAGACUCUAGAGGAGACGGGGUUAUCGGAUACAGCUGAAAUCUUAGAGCAGUUGGUCAGAGAAGGGUUUCUGUCGCCGACUGAGCUGGACUCCUCUGACUACAGGAGCAGGCUGGAUCUGGAGCAAAAAGGCAAAAUGUCAAAAAACAGUUUGACGCCCCAGGAUGAAAAAAGAGAGCUAAGGACCUGGAUGAGAAAAAAGCAGCGUGAGAGACUGGCUGUUUAUCAGAAACAUCGGCAGAAGCUCAGAGAGAAUGAGCGCAGGCCGUUUCCCUCCCCUCAUAAAACUAACUGUGUGACUAAAAAUGCAAACUUGAAAUCUAAAUGGGAACCUGUCCGUGUGUUGGAGCAUUUUAACCAGCGCACACUGGAGGCUUAUAACUUGGCCACUGAUCUUUGUGCCAGUGCCCCAAGAACACAAGGCUUUUCAGAUCCUGCAGACACGUUCACCGCCGGCCCCUCCUCCGCCGGC